rnacentral:rRNA from 1 species
CCUACGGGGGGCAGCAGUGGGGAAUAUUGCACAAUGGGGGAAACCCUGAUGCAGCGACGCCGCGUGAGCGAAGACGUAUUUCGGUAUGUAAAGCUCUAUCAGCAGGGAAGAAAAUGACGGUACCUGACUAGGAAGCUCCGGCUAACUACGUGCCAGCAGCCGCGGUAAUACGUAGGGGGCAAGCGUUAUCCGGAUUUACUGGGUGUAAAGGGAGCGUAGACGGGUGUGAAAGCCAGAUGUGAAAGC